rnacentral:rRNA from 1 species
UCCAGUUGAUCCUGCUGGAGGAUACUGCUAUCAGAGUCCGACUAAGCCAUGCAAGUCAGCCCGCAACCAUUGCGGACGGCGUAAGGCUCAGUAACACGUAGUCAAUCUGCCCUUUGGACGUGGACAUCCUCGAGAAAUUGAGGUUAACCCGCGAUAGGCCAUCUAUGCUGGAAUGCUUGAUGGUUUAAAGGUGCGCGCGAAUUGGAGUGCGCACGCCGGAGGAUGAGACUGCGGUUGAUUAGGUAGUUGGUGAGGUAACGGCUCACCAAGCCGAUAAUCAGUAGGGGCGAUGGGAGUCGGAGCCCCGAGAAGAGCACUGAGACAAGGGCUCUAGUCCUACGGGAUGCAGCAGGCGCGAAACCUCUGCAAUGCGCUAAAGCGUGACAGGGGGACUCUGAGUGGCGGAGAACUUAGUUCUCCGUCUUUUGACAAGCUUAGAUGGCUUGUAGAAUAAGUGCUGGGUAAGACCAGUGCCAGCCGCCGCGGUAAUACUGGCAGCACAAGUGGUAUCCACGAAUAUUGGGUCUAAAGAGUUCGUAGCUGGCUUGCUAAGUUCACUGUGAAAUCUUGGAGCCUAACUCCAAGGCGUGCAGUGAAUACUGGCAGGCUUGAGAGCGGGGGAGGCGUGGAGUACUUACGGGGUAAGGGUAAAAAGGAGAGUAUUGAAUGCCGUAAUGCGCAAUACUUUUCAUUAUAAUCUCGUAAUCCUGUAAGGACUCACAGUGGCGAAGGCGCCACGCCAAAACGCGUCUGACAGUGAGGAACGAAGGCUAGGAGAACAAAUCGGAUUAGAUUUGGAGCUAGGGAAACGCUAAUAAAUAACAACGGAUUGAUAGAAUUAUGAGAUUAGAGCGCCGGGUAAGAGACCUCGUGAGUAAGCAGAAACGAAAGCCGCUUAUGAAGGUUAAACUUCCAGUCGAAACAAGCCCAGAACUCUGUAGAGUGCUUGGCAUUCUACAUGGCGAUGGGAAUAUGUCUGGAAGACGAGUUUUGCUAACCGACGAAAACAGGGUGUUCCACAGAACGAUACAUAAACUGUUUAAAACGGUUUUUGGAAUUAGGAUGAAUCUGUUUCACGACAUAAGAAGAAAUUCGUAUUACAGUUAUACGAAAAGUGUCUUGGUGUAUCGUUUUUUGAACGAAAUAAUGGAAAUGCCCUGCGGUCCAGUAAGACAAAAUCUGAAGAUUCCGUCUUAUAUGGAAAAGCUUGGUUUGAAACACCAAGCAGAGUAUGUUGGCGGACUCUUUGACGCUGAAGGAUGCGUCAAAACAAGACAGGCCGAACUCAACCUCUCAUCUACUUCAAAGAAUAUCUUCAAGUUUAUUGGAGGGUUUUUGAAGAAGAUUGGGGUGACGUACAGUACGUAUGAGAGGAGAAGGCACAAAAAUCCGGAAUAUGAGAUAUAUGUUUAUGGAAAAGACGACUUGAAAAAAUUUUCAAGAUAUGUUUCUUUUUUGCAUCCGUUGAAAAUGAAAAAGAUGGCGAAAUU